GGAAAAGAAACCAACAGGGAUUGCCUUAGUAGCGGCGAGUGAAGCGGCAAAAGCUCAAAUUUGAAAUCUGGCACUUUCAGUGUCCGAGUUGUAAUUUGAAGAAGGUAUCUUUGGGUCUGGCUCUUGUCUAUGUUUCUUGGAACAGAACGUCACAGAGGGUGAGAAUCCCGUGCGAUGAGAUGUCCCAGACCUAUGUAAAGUUCCUUCGAAGAGUCGAGUUGUUUGGGAAUGCAGCUCUAAGUGGGUGGUAAAUUCCAUCUAAAGCUAAAUAUUGGCGAGAGACCGAUAGCGAACAAGUACAGUGAUGGAAAGAUGAAAAGAACUUUGAAAAGAGAGUGAAAAAGUACGUGAAAUUGUUGAAAGGGAAGGGCUUGAGAUCAGACUUGGUAUUUUGUAUGUUACUCUCUCGGGGGUGGCCUCUACAGUUUACCGGGCCAGCAUCAGUUUGAGCGGUAGGAUAAGUGCAAAGAAAUGUGGCACUGCUUCGGUAGUGUGUUAUAGUCUUUGUCGAUACUGCCAGCUUAGACUGAGGACUGCGGCUUCGGCCUAGGAUGUUGGCAUAAUGAUCUUAAGUCGCCCGUCU
rnacentral:rRNA from 1 species